GAACGCAGAUCGCGCUCUGCCGCCUCCUUUUAAAAUGUCUGUAAAAUGUAAACUGAGCCCAUCGGACAAUACAGCGCCGGCUUCUCAGGAGGACUGACGGUGAGCGGACUUUGCCUGAAUCAUCCGACUGUAGUUAUUAGCAACACUGGACAUUCACCGGGACAAAAACCACCUCCCAUGAAGCGAACGGCGGAGCAAACAUGGACACGUCAUUUAUUAUGAAGACAGAGCAUGAGGGACAAUGAACGGCAAAGGGCAACAGAUCGUAACCGAAACAGCGGCUGCUGCAGAGGACUCAGUCCCUGUGGGACGCCUGCUCCACCAGGUGUACAAUCCAGCGCUGAGAGAUAUACGUCCGAGCGCUGAACGCUGUGAUCUGCUGACAGUGAGUGACAAGACCCCUCUCCUGUCCCCUCCAGUGUAACGGGAGCCCUGUACCUGCUGAGCCGAGCCCCGACCCCCGCGACCUCUGACCCCACCUGCCAGGUCUUUCUCAUGCCCACCCUGACCUGCGGUGAAACCAGAGAGCGCUGUGGGAGAGAGGGAAGUGCGACCGGCAUCAAACGUCGUCAUCGAGGUAAACAGCUUCCCGGUUCAGAGGUGGAAGAUGAAAUGAAGCCUGAACAUGCAGGACACUGUAUUUCAUAAAUGGAUGGAUCUUGUAGCAUCAAACAAUAUAAUUUCCAAUAUAAAGCAAUAUCUACAAACCGUCUACAAAGUACACUGUACUGUUUAUUAACUCGUCAUCUUCAUCCAUCCAUUUACUGUUUUGGCUCAUUUGGGAAAUGUGUUCCAAUAUAUUUGGGCCUAAUUUAAGAUGUAUGUAUUUUCAUUGCAUUUAAAAUUGUCAUAAGUUUGCAUCACACAGCCAAC